rnacentral:rRNA from 1 species
UACGAAGGGGGCUAGCGUUGCUCGGAAUUACUGGGUGUAAAGGGUUCGUAGGCGGUGUGGCAAGUCGGGAGUGAAAUCUCUGGGCUCAACUCAGAGACUGCUUCCGAAACUGCUGUGCUGGAGUGUGGGAGAGGCGCGUGGAAUUGCAGGUGUAGCGGUGAAAUGCGUAGAUAUCUGGAGGAAUACCGGUGGCGAAGGCGGGUCUCUGGGCCCGUAACUGACGCUGAGGAGGCGAAAGCGUGGGGGAGCAAACAGG